rnacentral:lncRNA from 1 species
UGUGAGGGGGUUGACAACCUUCGCAGUUUGGAUUAAUCGAGUUUAGGAAGACAUUUAUCAGUGCUUGAUUGCUGGAUUCAUUUGAAAUUUCGGAAGCAUCAAGAUUUAUAAGCUAAGCUUUGAAGGGCAUAAGUUUCGCUGGAUUUGAAGAUAAUUUGAAUUUUUAGCAAAUUUCUAAGUGAAGGGGGUUGGUCGCCGCGGUAGUUUGGAUCACUCAACUUCAAAGG